rnacentral:rRNA from 1 species
GGGCUUCGCAGGCGGUUUUUUAAGUCUGAAUGUGAAAGCCCCCCGGCUUAACCGGGGAGGGUCAUUGGAAACUGGGAAACUUGAGUGCAGAAGAGGAGAGUGGAAUUCCACGUGUAGCGGUGAAAUGCGUAGAGAUGUGGAGGAACACCAGUGGCGAAGGCGACUCUCUGGUCUGUAACUGACGCUGAGGAGCGAAAGCGUGGGGAGCGAACAGGAUUAGAUACCCUGGUAGUCCACGCCGUAAACGAUGAGUGCUAAGUGUUAGGGGGUUUCCGCCCCUUAGUGCUGCAGCUAACGCAUUAAGCACUCCGCCUGGGGAGUACGGUCGCAAGACUGAAACUCAAAGGAAUUGACGGGGGCCCGCACAAGCGGUGGAGCAUGUGGUUUAAUUCGAAGCAACGCGAAGAACCUUACCAGGUCUUGACAUCCUCUGACAACCCUAGAGAUAGGGCUUUCCCUUCGGGGACAGAGUGACAGGUGGUGCAUGGUUGUCGUCAGCUCGUGUCGUGAGAUGUUGGGUUAAGUCCCGCAACGAGCGCAACCCUUGAUCUUAGUUGCCAGCAUUCAGUUGGGCACUCUAAGGUGACUGCCGGUGACAAACCGGAGGAAGGUGGGGAUGACGUCAAAUCAUCAUGCCCCUUAUGACCUGGGCUACACACGUGCUACAAUGGACAGAACAAAGGGCUGCAAGACCGNCAGGUUUAGCCAAUCCCAUAAAUCUGUUCUCAGUUCGGAUCGCAGUCUGCAACUCGACUGCGUGAAGCUGGAAUCGCUAGUAAUCGCGGAU